rnacentral:rRNA from 1 species
CCUACGGGUGGCAGCAGUGAGGAAUAUUGGUCAAUGGGUGCGAGCCUGAACCAGCCAAGUAGCGUGAAGGAUGACUGCCCUACGGGUUGUAAACUUCUUUUGUAAAGGAAUAAAGUGAGGCACGUGUGCCUUUUUGUCUGUACUUUAUGAAGAAGGCUCGGCUAACUCCGUGCCAGCAGCCGCGGUAAUACGGAGGAUCCGAGCGUUAUCCGGAUUUAUUGGGUGUAAAGGGAGCGUAGAUGGGGUGUUAAGUCAGUUGUGAAAGUUUGCGGCUCAACCGUAAAAUUGCAAUUGAUACUGGCAGCCUUGAGUACAGUUGAGGUAGGCGGAAUUCGUGGUGUAGCGGUGAAAUGCUUAGAUAUCACGAAGAACUCCGAUUGCGAAGGCAGCUUACUAAACUGCCACUGACAUUGAUGCUCGAAAGUGUGGGUAUCAAACAGGAUUAGAUACCCGAGUAGUC